AUGUUAUACUUGAGCUACCCAACCCAACCUCCCUAAUUAUCCUCAUUUUGUUCUUACCAAAUAAACCCAUUUCAACCCAUAAAUAGAGACUUCGUUACACAUGACCCACAUUAAAAUGUCCACCAUAUUAGUUGGGCAUUUGGGUAAACUACUUUGUAAAAUCUAACAUAUGAAAUAUGUUUGUGUAAACUGAUCACCCUAACCCACCACAUCCUUGUCACUAACCCAUAUUUAUUAUAUAAUAUGAGUGUAGAUUCAAAACUCUUAUAUGGAUAUAAAUAUCUUCCAUGGGAACCAUAAAUUAUAAACUAGAAGAAGGUUCAGAAAAUCCACUUUCUGAUUCGGACACUACCCAUUUUUUAUUUAUUUAUUUUUAUAUAUACAUAAAAGAUGAACCAAAAAAACUAUAUUUAUAUUUUUAAUAUUGGCAGCAUGUAAUAAUAAUAAUACGUUGUCGUUUAACGUUGAGCAAACGACCAUAAGAAAUAUAAAAAAAGAAAAAAAAAUCUGAAAAUAAAAUAAAUUAAUAUCCUUGAGAGAAAAUAUUAAGCAGUUACUGUUAGAACAUAACGGUUUACAUUUUGCCCAUGCCAAAACCCCAUUUUGCCCCUUCCUCUAUUUUCUAUGAUUAGAGAACGAAAAAAGAAAAGAAAAAUACUACUAAAAAAAGUGCUAUUUUCACUCCAUUUUCCUUGUCUACUUUUUUCACAAUCACAAACGAGUUCUUUGUGGAUCACAAAUCCAAAUACAUAACUCAAAAUCAACCAAAAUUUCUAGCAUUAAAAAAAAAUGGAGAGCAAAUAGCACCACUUCCAAAAGAAAAAAAAAGAACUAGUUAACAUAAUACAAAUACUCCUAAAAAAAAAGAAGAGAAGAAAAAGAAGAAGAAGAAGAAAAAGAAGAAGAAGAUGUU